rnacentral:rRNA from 1 species
UACGUAGGGUGCGAGCGUUAAUCGGAAUUACUGGGCGUAAAGCGUGCGCAGGCGGUUUUGUAAGUCAGAUGUGAAAUCCCCGGGCUUAACCUGGGAACUGCAUUGGUGACUGCAGGGCUAGAGUGUGUCAGAGGGAGGUGGAAUUCCGCGUGUAGCAGUGAAAUGCGUAGAGAUGCGGAGGAGCACCGAUGGCGAAGGCAGCCUCCUGGGAUAACACUGACGCUCAGGCACGAAAGCGUGGGGAGCAAACAGG